rnacentral:rRNA from 1 species
AAGCUUGAGUCUCGUAGAGGGGGGUAGAAUUCCAGGUGUAGCGGUGAAAUGCGUAGAGAUCUGGAGGAAUACCGGUGGCGAAGGCGGCCCCCUGGACGAAGACUGACGCUCAGGUGCGAAAGCGUGGGGAGCAAACAGGAUUAGAUACCCUGGUAGUCCACGCCGUAAACGAUGUCGACUUGGAGGUUGUGCCCUUGAGGCGUGGCUUCCGGAGCUAACGCGUUAAGUCGACCGCCUGGGGAGUACGGCCGCAAGGUUAAAACUCAAAUGAAUUGACGGGGGCCCGCACAAGCGGUGGAGCAUGUGGUUUAAUUCGAUGCAACGCGAAGAACCUUACCUGGUCUUGACAUCCACGGAAGUUUUCAGAGAUGAGAAUGUGCCUUCGGGAACCGUGAGACAGGUGCUGCAUGGCUGUCGUCAGCUCGUGUUGUGAAAUGUUGGGUUAAGUCCCGCAACGAGCGCAACCCUUAUCCUUUGUUGCCAGCGGUCCGGCCGGGAACUCAAAGGAGACUGCCAGUGAUAAACUGGAGGAAGGUGGGGAUGACGUCAAGUCAUCAUGGCCCUUACGACCAGGGCUACACACGUGCUACAAUGGCGCAUACAAAGAGAAGCGACCUCGCGAGAGCAAGCGGACCUCAUAAAGUGCGUCGUAGUCCGGAUUGGAGUCUGCAACUCGACUCCAUGAAGUCGGAAUCGCUAGUAAUCGUGGAUCAGAAUGCCACGGUGAAUACGUUCCCGGGCCUUGUACACACCGCCCGUCACACCAUGGGAGUGGGUUGCAAAAGAAGUAGGUAGCUUAACCUUCGGGAGGGCGCUUACCACUUUGUGAUUCAUGACUGGGGUGAAGUCGUAACAAGGUAACCGUAGGGGAACCUGCGGUUGGAUCACCUCCUUACCUUAAAGAAGC